rnacentral:misc_RNA from 1 species
CUAUGUAUUUAUGCUUUACUAUGCAACUGUGGUCGGCCAUUUUAUUUGACAAUCGGCCCUCUACCCGUCCAUACUCCGUACAAUCGUACUUUUGAAGUCUCGUAUUCUCGUCCCUCAUCUUUCCUCUGUCCUCUUCAUUUUACUAUAUUCGUUUGAGUUGAUCGCUUCAACUUUGCCCUAAGACAUCACUGACAGUCUUACAUCGAAUCAGCUUUGUGAAUUCGUUCGAUUCUUGAAAUUUGGCUCAAUACCGUGUAGCAAACGCUAUGGCACAAAUCAAAGACGAGAAGAUCAGUGACACUUCGUUAAAUGGGCCAAACGCACAUCAUGGCCCCAGUCCCAACCACAAGCCGAAAGAAGAAUUCCACGGUGGUGGCCGUGGUGGAAGAGGCAAUCGCUUUCAACCGUACGGUGGACCGAAUAGAGACCGCAAAGGUGGUCCGCCGAGAGACAACAAUAUGCCAAGAGGAGAUUUUCGCAAUGAUAGUAAUCAUGGUGAUAACCAUCAAGGAGAUAAUGAUAUAAUGAAUAGAGGCAAUCGCAAUCAUUCUGAAAGUGGAAGAGGCGGUAGACGUGGUGGAGGUGUAGGCGGAGGUGUUUUCAGAGGUGGUCCACCUAAUCGAGGAGAUGAUCGUUUAACCAGAGCUGAUGCUCUAUGGAAUGAACGUUUAAUGCAAAUUAUGGGGCCAACUCAUGAGCUUCCACAAACUGAUACCACUGAGAGAAAAUUCCUUAGUCAGUGUCGUCUUUAUAUUGGAAACUUAGUUGAUUGCACUGAAGAAGAAUUGAUAGAAAUGUUUAAACCUUAUGGAGAAGUUUCUGAAAAUUUUUUAAACAAGGAAAAAAUGUUUGCUUUUAUCAGAUUGGAUUAUCGUGCUAAUGCUGAAAAAGCCAAAAGAGAAUUAGAUGGUCAAAUGCGUAAAGGACGUAUGUUAAAAAUUAGAUUUGCCCCCAUUGCUGCUGCUAUCAAAGUAAAAAAUCUUACUCCGUUUGUUUCCAAUGAACUUCUAGAAUAUGCUUUUUCAAUAUUUGGUGAUAUUGAACGUUGCCAAGUGAUGGUAGAUGAAAGAGGUAAUUCAACUGGUGAAGGCAUUAUUGAAUUUUCACGUAAAAAUGCUGCGAGUAAUGCUUUGAAACGUUGUUCAGAUGGUUGUUUUUUUUUGACCAGUUCUCUUCGUCCUUGUGUAGUUGAAACUUAUGAGUUUGUAGAUAGUUCAGAUGGUCUCCCAGAUAAAUUAUUGCCCAAAAAAACAAUGGAUUUCCAGAAACAAAGAGAUACUGGUCCAAGAUUUGCUAAUCCUAAUUCUUUUGAACAUGAAUUUGGUACUCGUUGGAAACAAUUAGCUGAAUUGUAUAAACAAAAGGAAGAAGCACUAAAACGUGAGAUGAAAUUGGAAGAAGAAAAAUUAGAGGCUCAAAUGGAAUAUGCUCGUUAUGAACAUGAGACUGAAAUGCUCAGAGAACAAUUGCGUCAACGAGAAAUGGAUAGAGAACGUCAAAAAAUGGAAUGGGAAAUGAAAGAACGUCAAGCAGAGGAUCAAAGACUUAGGGAAGAAGAUAUUUUCAGGAGACAGAGUGAAGAUUUAAGCAUGAGAAUGCAUCAUCAAGAUGAAGAGAUGAGGAGACGUCAACAAGAUAAUUCAUCAUUCAUGCAGGACCACAGAGGACCGGGUAAACCUCCGUUUGAUGGACCCCCUAUUCCAGUAGAAGUUCAAGGAGGAAUGGCUCAAUUCUGUCUGGCGUUCAGUUAACUGUGUCGUUUCUCCGAAGAAAGCAACUGGAAUAACGUAUUAUUGUUAUUGUGGAAUUAUGGAAUAAGUCUCUGCCACCAAUAUACAUGUGUGUACGCGUAUUACGUACCAUAGAGUGGUCAUAGUUCUACAUUGCGUUUCUGUAACGCCAUGUUAAUUGAUGGGGUGCGAGUACAUCAUACAUUGUUUGGGCUCAGACCAACAAUGAACCAUUCGCAGAAGAUGCUGAUUAGCGAGAAAGGGAAAAAAAUGUUAUACAACAACGUAUAUCAAUUGAAGACUUUAAAUAAAGUAAACAUUUCUUAACAUAA